GGAGCGGUAGUUCAGUUGGUUAGAAUACCUGCCUGUUACGCAGGGGGUCGCGGGUUCGAGUCCCGUCCGUUCCGCCA
rnacentral:tRNA from 1 species